rnacentral:rRNA from 1 species
AUUGAACGCUGGCGGCAGGCCUAACACAUGCAAGUCGAGCGGAGCGGCGGACGGGUGAGUAAUACCUAGGAAUCUGCCUGGUAGUUGGGGAUAACGUCCGGAAACGGGCGCUAAUACCGCAUACUAUCAGAUGAGCCUAGGUCGGAUUAGCUAGUUGGUGGGUUAAAGGCCUACCAAGGCAACGAUCCGUAACUGGUCUGAGUGGAUGAUCAGUCAAACUGAAACUGAGACACGGCCCAGACUCCUAAGAGGGGCAGAAGGGGGGAAUAUUGCACAAAGGGGGCAAGCCUGAUGCAGCCAUGCCGCGUGUAUGAAGAAGGCCUUAGGGUUGUAAAGUACUUUCAGUCGGGAGGCGUUACCGACAGAAGAAGCACCGGCUAACUCCGUGCCAGCAGCCGCGGUAAUA